CCCUUAGAUGUUCUGGGCCGCACGCGCGCUACACUGAUGCAUUCAACAAGCCUAGCCUUGACCGAGAGGUCCGGGUAAUCUUUGAAACUGCAUCGUGAUGGGGCUAGAUUAUUGCAAUUAUUAAUCUUCAACGAGGAAUGCCUAGUAAGCGUGAUUCAUCAAAUCGCGUUGAUUACGUCCCUGCCCUUUGUACACACCGCCCGUCGCUCCUACCGAUUGAAUGUGUUGGUGAGGAGCUCGGAUUGGCAGCAGUUGGUGGUUCGCCACCGGCUAUUGCUGAGAAGUCCUCCAAACCGCNCNAUUUAUNGGAAGGAGAANUCGUANCA
rnacentral:rRNA from 1 species